UGUCAAGGGAAGCCCUUCAUACUCUGUGA
rnacentral:piRNA from 1 species